rnacentral:lncRNA from 1 species
AGGAGAAGAGAAUGCGUGCAACAGCUCUGGCGAAGGUCUCACAGCCUCUCCUGCCGCCUCAGCAGGUGGACAGCCACAGGAGGGUUAAUUCUACUUCCUUGCAUCAUUUCAUUUUUCAAAAAAGGCAUNCAUACAAUCUCUUCCAUCGCCUGGCAGAGGAGCCGGCUGCACACAACCAGGCCAUAAAUGAGUAUCGGGCCCUGCGAAAGUGGUUCAAAAGAAUCCUUCACCACGAAAACUGAAUGAAAGGGCUGAUGCACAGAGCNGUGCUGCUCACAGCUGGCAGCAGAGAGACACACCUUGUUGUACAAAUUUGAUGGUUUAAGGAGAAGAGAAUUUGUGCAGCGGCUCUGGCGAAGGUCUCACAGCCUGUCCUGCCACCUCAGCAGGUGGACAGCCACAGGAGGGUUAAUUCUACUUCCUUGCAUCAUUUCAUUUUUCAAAAAAGGCACCUGGAUCUACAUAAAUCCCUUCUGGAAUUUUCCCACUCCCUCCUGAUAAAAAAUAAUUCUGGAUAGUUGAAUAUGUAAUUAUGGGUGAAUGUCCUGCCACCUCAGCAGGUGGACAGCCACAGGAGGGUUAAUUCUACUUCCUUGCAUCAUUUCAUUUUUCAAAAAAGGCACCUGGAUCUACAUAAAUCCCUUCUGGAAUUUUCCCACUCCCUCCUGAUAAAAAAUAAUUCUGGAUAGUUGAAUAUGUAAUUAUGGGUGAAUAACAAGAAUAAGAAUAAGAAUAAGAAUAAGAAUAGAGCACUUAAUUAAGUAUCACUAUCUGUUUUGACACCUACUAGUGACUCCAGUGCAUUUAUAUCUGGAUUUUCUUAGAGUAGAUAUAUUUCUAACAUAUAUACCUUAGAUAUAGAUAUUAUAUAGGCAUAAUAUAUUAAUAUAAUUAUGUAAUAUAUAUUAUUCAUCGUAUGCAAAUAAUAUAUUAAUUAUAUGAUAUUAC